rnacentral:rRNA from 1 species
UCUGGCGGCAGUAGCGCGGUGGUCCCACCUGACCCCAUGCCGAACUCAGAAGUGAAACGCCGUAGCGCCGAUGGUAGUGUGGGGUUUCCCCAUGCGAGAGUAGGGAACUACCAGAC